rnacentral:tRNA from 1 species
GUUUAAAUAGCUUAAAUUAGAGCAUAACAUUGAAGGUGUUAAGGCGGUUUAGAACCUUUAAAUA